GACGUAGGUGGCGAACGUUAUCCGGAAUUAUUGGGCGUAAAGGGUGCGUAGGCGGCAUGAUAAGUUAUUGGCGGCAAAUCGAGGCUCAACCUCGUGGAAACUGAUAAUACUGUUUUGCUUGAGUACAGAAGAGGUUAACGGAACUCCAUGUGGAGCGGUAAAAUGUGUAGAUAUAUGGAAGAACAUCAAUAACGGCGAAGGCAGUUAACUAUUCUGUUACUGACGUUGAGGUACGAAAAGCG
rnacentral:rRNA from 1 species